CAUCGACCGGGAAACGAACCCGGGCCGCCUGCGUGGCAGGCGAGCAUUCUACCACUGAACCACCGGAU
rnacentral:tRNA from 1 species